rnacentral:lncRNA from 1 species
GUUCUGCCGGAUUUUCGGUAGAAUUCUCCCGAGUCGAGAUUCUUAGACAGUCAGUCUUAGGAGUCUAGACCUAGGAUUAAUGAUCGAUUGUUUCAGCGUUUUGAUAAAUUAUUUUCCGUGAUUAGAUGAUCUGUCUGUUCGGCUCGCUCCAACCGAGGCACCGGAGCAGAGCUAGGAGGUCGCCCAAUCCUAUGAGUUAAAGUCAUUUAAUCUUUGCGCUGUUGCUAGU